GAUGAACGCUGGCGGCGUGCUUAAUACAUGCAAGUCGAGCGGAGAAACGCCUUGCUUUCUGGUCUGAUGGUAGCAGCGGCGAACUGGUUAGUAAGUCGUUAACCACCCUCUCCCUUUUGCAUAACAACGGCAAGACGGUGUUACUACCGCGUGAUAUUUUGGACCGCUCGCUUCAUGGGUGUGGGACGGUUUUUCUUUCGCUUGUGGAUGGGUCCGCGCCCUAUCAGCUUGUUGGUAGGGUGAUGGCCUACCAAGGCGGUGAAGAGUAGCCGGCCUGAGAGGGUGGACGGUCACAGUGGGAAUGAGACACGGCGCAGACUACGACGGGAGGCAGUAGUGGGGAAUAUUGAACAAUGGGAGCAAGGCUGAUGCAGCGACGCGGGGUGAGGGAUGGAGGCCUUCGGGUUGUGAACCUCUUUCGCCAGUGAAGAAGGGCUGACUCGUUUGUGGGUGGGUUGACGGUAGCUGGAUAAGAAGCGCCGGCUAACUACGUG
rnacentral:rRNA from 1 species